rnacentral:rRNA from 1 species
UACGAAGGGGGCUAGCGUUGUUCGGAAUUACUGGGCGUAAAGCGCACGUAGGCGGAUCGAUCAGUCAGGGGUGAAAUCCCAGGGCUCAACCCUGGAACUGCCUUUGAUACUGUCGAUCUGGAGUAUGGAAGAGGUGAGUGGAAUUCCGAGUGUAGAGGUGAAAUUCGUAGAUAUUCGGAAGAACACCAGUGGCGAAGGCGACUUACUGGACACAUAUUGACGCUGAGGUGCGAAAGCGUGGGGAGCAAACAGGG